rnacentral:rRNA from 1 species
UCCAGCGAACCGAUUAAGAGCUUGCUCUUUCAAGUUAGCGGCGGACGGGUGAGUAACACGUAGGUAACCUGCCUAUAAGACUGGGAUAACUCCGGGAAACCGGGGCUAAUACCGGAUAACAUUUUGCACCGCAUGGUGCGAAAUUGAAAGGCGGCUUCGGCUGUCACUUAUAGAUGGACCUGCGGCGCAUUAGCUAGUUGGUGAGGUAACGGCUCACCAAGGCGACGAUGCGUAGCCGACCUGAGAGGGUGAUCGGCCACACUGGGACUGAGACACGGCCCAGACUCCUACGGGAGGCAGCAGUAGGGAAUCUUCCGCAAUGGACGAAAGUCUGACGGAGCAACGCCGCGUGAGCGAUGAAGGCCUUCGGGUCGUAAAGCUCUGUUGUUAGGGAAGAACAAGUGCUAGUUGAAUAAGCUGGCACCUUGACGGUACCUAACCAGAAAGCCACGGCUAACUACGUGCCAGCAGCCGCGGUAAUACGUAGGUGGCAAGCGUUAUCCGGAAUUAUUGGGCGUAAAGCGCGCGCAGGUGGUUUCUUAAGUCUGAUGUGAAAGCCCACGGCUCAACCGUGGAGGGUCAUUGGAAACUGGGAGACUUGAGUGCAGAAGAGGAAAGUGGAAUUCCAUGUGUAGCGGUGAAAUGCGUAGAGAUAUGGAGGAACACCAGUGGCGAAGGCGACUUUCU